rnacentral:lncRNA from 1 species
CAAUUUUAAACAUCUUUAAAAGGUAAGAAUACUUGUGUCUUGUUAAUAAAUUUCAGUAUCGAAAAAGCUUGAACUCAAUUUAGUUAGAAAAGUGCUCAUCUGCUAGCUAUUACGAACGGUCAGUAACAAAUAUAUCUAUAUAUAUGUUUUGGGCACUGUAGAAUAACGUAGGUUAAAGAAUAGUUUCAAACGGAAUACACUGCAUACGAGAACUUGAAG